CAGAGCAAGACUCCGUCUCAAAAAAAAAGAAAAGAAAAUGUGGCUGGGGACAGUGACUCACGCCUGUAAUCCCAACACUUUGGGAGGCCUAGGUGGGUGGAUCGCUUGAGGUCAGGAGUUCGAGACCAGCCUGGCCAACACAGUGAAACCCUGUCUCUACUAAAAAAAAAAAAAAAACAUAAAAAUUAGCCUGACGUGGUGGCUCAUGCCUGUAAUCCCAGCUACUUGGGAGGCUGAGGCAAGAGAAUGGCUUGAACCCAGGAGGCAGAGGUUGCAGUGAGCCAAGAUGGCGCCACUGCACUCCAUCCAGACUGGGAGACAGAACAAGACUCUGUCCCAAAAAAAAAAAAAAAAAAAAAGAGAAAAUGUAACCUGAUUCUGUAGUCUCAGGCUGAUGAAUUUUGGAACACUUAGCCGUAUAAUCAGGUGUCACUGGUAUGGCAUACUCCACAGUUUGGGAUAUAAAUAUAGUCUCAUCUUUUAUUUUUCCAUUAAUCACUUGAGAGCCCAACUGCAGUUAGUGGCAGGAGGUCCAGUAUCUCCCUGGAGACCUUCCUACCAACCCUCUGAAUUGUUCAAGAACAAGGGCUUCUGCCUGUCUUGUCAGGUCCUUGGGAGAGAGUGGAGGAGAUGGUGUUCUCGUGUUAAUUGAGGCUGAGAAAGCAGCACUGCUCACGUUUUGCUUUAUUUUCUUCCUCUCCUAGGCAGAAUCAGUGUUACAUUUGUGGUCAGAUGAGCUAACGACAUCCUUCCUGACUUCUUUCUCAGAAUUAGGAAACCCUGAUUAGCAUUUAGAACCUCAUUUUCACAGACUUCACUCAUUAAAACAUCAAGACCUAGGUAACGCACCACUGAAAUUUCAUAAUAUGGAGGAUAUGUUUAAAUAUGUUUAAAAUAUGUAUUUUUAACUGUGGUUAAAAUAUGUUUUUAAAAUGUUUAUGAGUCAAAAUAAUUAAAAUUGCCAU
rnacentral:lncRNA from 1 species